rnacentral:rRNA from 1 species
GACAGAGGAUGCAAGCGUUAUCCGGAAUGAUUGGGCGUAAAGCGUCUGUAGGUGGCUUUUUAAGUCCGCCGUCAAAUCCCAGGGCUCAACCCUGGACAGGCGGUGGAAACUACCAAGCUGGAGUACGGUAGGGGCAGAGGGAAUUUCCGGUGGAGCGGUGAAAUGCGUAGAUAUCGGAAGGAACACCAGUGGCGAAAGCGGCUUCCUGGUCCAGCACCGACGUCAGGCACGAAAGCGUGGGGAGCAAACAGG